rnacentral:rRNA from 2 species
GCGAAUGGAUUGAGAGCUUGCUCUCAAGAAGUUAGCGGCGGACGGGUGAGUAACACGUGGGUAACCUGCCCAUAAGACUGGGAUAACUCCGGGAAACCGGGGCUAAUACCGGAUAACAUUUUGAACUGCAUGGUUCGAAAUUGAAAGGCGGCUUCGGCUGUCACUUAUGGAUGGACCCGCGUCGCAUUAGCUAGUUGGUGAGGUAACGGCUCACCAAGGCAACGAUGCGUAGCCGACCUGAGAGGGUGAUCGGCCACACUGGGACUGAGACACGGCCCAGACUCCUACGGGAGGCAGCAGUAGGGAAUCUUCCGCAAUGGACGAAAGUCUGACGGAGCAACGCCGCGUGAGUGAUGAAGGCUUUCGGGUCGUAAAACUCUGUUGUUAGGGAAGAACAAGUGCUAGUUGAAUAAGCUGGCACCUUGACGGUACCUAACCAGAAAGCCACGGCUAACUACGUGCCAGCAGCCGCGGUAAUACGUAGGUGGCAAGCGUUAUCCGGAAUUAUUGGGCGUAAAGCGCGCGCAGGUGGUUUCUUAAGUCUGAUGUGAAAGCCCACGGCUCAACCGUGGAGGGUCAUUGGAAACUGGGAGACUUGAGUGCAGAAGAGGAAAGUGGAAUUCCAUGUGUAGCGGUGAAAUGCGUAGAGAUAUGGAGGAACACCAGUGGCGAAGGCGACUUUCUGGUCUGUAACUGACACUGAGGCGCGAAAGCG